rnacentral:lncRNA from 1 species
UGGCGUUGUAAUAUCGGGCUACCUUCUAUCGGUAUGAAGCCAUGCGAAGUUGAGCCUCGUUCCGUAGUUCGGGGAGAAGGUCUAGGUCGGCUCUCCGACAAUCAGAGUUGUCCGACUCUUGAUACCGCUCGACCCUGAUAGAUGGCAGCCCAAUCUCGAGUGGAAUCAUCGCCUCCGUCCCAUAGGCCAAACUGAAAGGUGACUCUCCGAUCGGAAUGCGGGGGGUCGUUCGGUAAGCCCAC